AUGAGCAGCCGCCGCCGCCGCCGCCGCCACGCCCGCUCGCCGGCGACCGCGCCCCUGGACGACGACGACCUGCUCUCCGAGAUCCUGCUCCGCCUCCCGCCGCAGCCCUCCUCCCUCCCGCGCGCAUCCCUCGUCUGCAAGCGCUGGCGCUGCCUCGUCUCCGACCCCGGCUUCUUCCGCCGAUUCCGCCUCCGCCAUCGCCACAACCCUCCCCUCCUCGGUUUCUUCGACAGAUAUGAAGGUCGGCCCUUCCUACUUACUCUGGAUGCCCCCAAUCGUGUCCCUCCCGAGCGCUUCUCCUUGCUGUGCGACAAGGAUCACGAAGACUCCAUGACCCUUGGAUGUCGCCAUGGUCUCGUGCUCGUCUAUCGUAUGAGGCGUUUCCAGGUCCUGGUGUGGGACCCCGUCACCGGCGACCAGCACCACAUUGCCGUUCCCCGGGAGUUCGAGAAGAACCUAAUCAACGGGGCGGUGCUUCGCGCUGACGGUGACGCCCAGCACUUCAAGGUGGUUCUGGCAGUGGCAGACGGCGACGACGUACAACAUACACGAGCGCUCGCCUGUGUUUACUCAUCAAAGACCGACGUACAACUCACAUUAUUUAUUGUUAUGCUAAAAAUAUUUAGGUAG
rnacentral:rRNA from 1 species